UUAUAAUUUGUCACAUAUUUGUUUCCUAAAAUCCUGAAGCCACUAGUCGCAACAGACCGGCGCAUGUGCCACCCACAUCCGUAGAAAGCCGCGUUCUAAUUCUGGACGACGAUUCCGGACGACCAUAUCGAUGUUCUCUCGGUUUCGCAUAAAUGUCGAUCCGCCGGUGACUAUGCCGACGACUAUGUGACUAUAAUGGUGGAGGGAGAUAGCCGAACGUAACACGAAUAGAUAACGGUGUCUUCGUCCCGAGGAAGGAUGGUGUGAUGUGCACGUGAAGAGCGAAUCAGUGCCGCGAAGGCUGCGAGAAGACGACGUUUGUCGAUCGACUAUCCGAUUCUUCAGGACGGUCCUGAGGAAAGCCUUCGAAAUCUUUUCUAAGAGUUGUUUCUGAGACCGUGAUCGUCUGCAGAAUUUAUCGUGACUCUCGUCGCUCUUGCUAUUAAUUAUGGAAAGUUCUUUGGAGUAAUAGAAUGUUUUCUUCGGAUGAUCUUCUUAUCGAGAAGAUUAAGUGCCGGUUGAAUAAAUCGGAAUUGAGAGCAGAUCAAUACAUACACGAAACUGAUAAAAAAA